AUGGCAAAUUAUACGCCUACAGAAGUAGUCGAUAUUCUUAUAACCUUUGGUGAAUGUGGUAGAAAUUACAGACUUACAGAAUUGUACGCGUCGACGAAGAAUGAUGAAAUCAAACCUUAUCCCAUUUAUGGUGUUACUAUUGCUGAAGUUGAGAUCGAUCUCUGGCCAGCAUAUUAUCAGAAGGGUUGAUUUGAUGGAAGACGCUGGAACUAGCCUGAAUCCAGAAAUCGAUGUCGGCCAGGCGGAGGGGGCUUUUGUGAUGGGAAUAGGAUACUGGACUUCUGAAGAACUGGUGUAUGAUCCUAAAACAGGAAUGUUAACCACUGAUAGAACCUGGAACUACAAACCGCCAGGAGUGAAGGAUAUUCCUGAGGACUUCCGCGUAUCUCUCCGUAAAAACGCGCCGAACCCAACGGGUGUUCUUCGAUCGAAAGCGACUGGUGAACCUCCGCUUUGCAUGAAUUACGUAAUUGCAAUCGCGAUUCGUUACGUGUUGAACUCUGCUAAAGCGGAUGCAGCAUAUUAAGACGAAUGGUACCAAUUAGAUGCACCUUUCACCAACGAACGCAUAUUUCUGAGUAGUUUAACCAGCAAGGAUAACAUGAUGGUGUGAGGGCGAAAGUGAGACUUGCCAAUAAACUAGCAUUUAAAUUCUCUCUCUCUCUCUCUCUCUCUCUCUCUCUAAUUCUUAUAUCUAUUAUUAUUGUUCGUCUGUUUUAUUGCUGUCAAACUAGAA